UUAGAUGGGGACACUCAAGGUGCUGCCCCCGCAGGGGGGUGGAGAAUUGGGAAGCCGGUUGAAGUCCGGCGCUGCCCCCGCAACGGUGUUGGAGCAAGGUGCAGCAGCGGCCACUGGACGGGAGGUCUGGGAAGGCGCUGCACCGGUCAGGCAAGGCACGACCCUUGAAGCCGUCCGGCUUCGAAAAGGGAACGGCCCGGCAGGACGCUCCUCAGCCCGGAAACCAGCCUGGAGAAACGAUCGUGA
rnacentral:ncRNA from 2 species